UCAACGAUCCCUUUACUCAAAUCUCCUUUUUUAAAGAGAAGGAAAUAAAUGCAUGAGGGAGGGGUGUGUGAAUUCACCCAGGAUCAUGCGGCUGAUGUGUGAACUGCCUGAUUCCUCAGGAUGGCUCAACAGCAUUUCUAGACAGAUGCCAUAGACGGUGAUGAAAAUCCCACCAUAUUAUUAGUGAGAGAGGUUCCAGAUUCCUUUGGCAGCGUGGGGAGAGAUUUUUAAAGGCGGCGCCAUCUCGUGGCCGCGAUGGUGAACAGCAGCUUACCGGCAGAGAAGGCCAGUUGCUAAGGACAGCAGCUGCAGCCAUUUAUCUCUGCUCUGACUAAAUGGCCGGAAAAAUCAUAGAAUGUUCAUAUCGAGAGCAACCUCCAGAGAUUUUCUGUCAAGACAUCUGCCUCCAGCCAACACGAAUAAUAUAUCUUAUGCUUAGAGUGUUGUGUAACACACUUUUACAAAUAUUAUCACAUUUUAUUUCUCACAUCAGCCCUGUGAAUUUUGAUAAAAUCAUUACCUCCGUAUUAAAGAUGAGUGGUUGAUCA